AUUGAACGCUGGCGGCAUGCCUUACACAUGCAAGUCGAACGGUAACGCGGGGCAACCUGGCGACGAGUGGCGAACGGGUGAGUAAUGCAUCGGAACGUGCCCAGUUGUGGGGGAUAACUGCUCGAAAGAGCAGCUAAUACCGCAUACGACCUGAGGGUGAAAGCGGGGGAUCGCAAGACCUCGCGCAAUUGGAGCGGCCGAUGUCAGAUUAGCUAGUUGGUGGGGUAAAGGCCCACCAAGGCGACGAUCCGUAGCUGGUCUGAGAGGACGAACAGCCAGACUGGGACUGAGACACGGCCCAGACUCCUACGGGAGGCAGCAGUGGGGAAUUUUGGACAAUGGACGCAAGUCUGAUCCAGCCAUGCCGCGUGCGGGGAGAAGGCCUUCGGGUUGUAAACCGCUUUUGUCAGGGAAGAAAUCUUCUGGGUUAAUACCUCGGGAGGAUGACGGUACCUGAAGAAUAAGCACCGGCUAACUACGUGCCAGCCGCCGCGGUAACAC
rnacentral:rRNA from 1 species